CAAGAAUGCGGUGUGUCAGGAGAAGCAAAUCCCAAAUGAGAUAAACCUGCCAGUAAUUUCAGCAAAUGAAACGUGGAACACGUCAAGGCCAGAGGAUGGAAAAGGCUCCAGUUUUGAUAAAAGGAGGCCUGCUUGGCUUGGAAUCCUCUCUCCUGCUGGUUGGGAGAUGCAAAGAUGUUUCCAGAGAGGGGCUGAUGAAUUGAGGGGAAAGAAAUGAGCCCAGUAUGAGUCCCCUUUCAGGGCUGAGCGUGUAUAAAACCAAACAACUUGGAACCGCUCCAAGAGAGGGGAUUAAAGCAACAUGUUAUUCUGAGUGAUUGCUUAAUUUAUUGAGCUGCGGCUGGAUCUGUAAUGAAAUACAGCCCUUGUAACUGAUAA
rnacentral:lncRNA from 1 species